GUCUGCAACUCGACUACAUGAAGCUGGAAUCGCUAGUAAUCGCAGAUCAGAAUGCUGCGGUGAAUACGUUCCCGGGUCUUGUACACACCGCCCGUCACACCAUGGGAGUCGGAAAUGCCCGAAGCCGGUGACCAAACCAAUAAGGAAGGAGCCGUCGAAGGCAGGUCUGAUAACUGGGUGAAGUCGUAACAAGGUAGC
rnacentral:rRNA from 1 species